AUGAAACACAGCAAAAAAGAAAAAUCACCAAUGGCUUCCCUUCGCCUUGCUUUUGUGCUGCUCAUCUCCCUGGUGUCCCCCACCAGCUCCUGCACACAGCAGGAGAAGAUCUGCCUUCUCCGAUUCCUCGCGGGGCUCUCGCAGGACGGUGGCCUCGCGGCGUCAUGGCGGGACGGCGAGGAUUGCUGCGAGUGGGAGGGGGUCACCUGCGGCACAGACAGGGCGGUCGCCGGUGUCUCGCUGGCUUCUAAGAGCCUCGAGGGGAACAUCUCAGAGUCCCUUGGUAGCCUCGACGGCCUGAAGCUCCUUGACCUCUCGCACAACUCGCUGUCCGGUUGCCUGCCGCGGGGAUUGGUGUCUUCUCCCAGCAUCGUUGUUCUAGAUGUCAGCUUCAACCGCCUCAGUGGAGCACUGCACGAGCUGCCAUCAUCGACCCCUCCCCGGCCUCUGCAGGUACUAAACAUAUCGAGUAACUCGUUCACUGGGAUGUUCCCAUCCACCAUAUGGGAAUCAAUGGAGAAUCUUAUCGCGCUCAAUGGCAGCAAUAAUAGCUUCACUGGGCAGAUACCAACUCAUUUCUGCAACGGUUCACCAUCUUUCGCUGUGCUUGAUCUGAGUUACAACAAACUCCGUGGUAGCAUCCCCCGAGGACUUGGUGAUUGCUCUGUUCUGAGAGUGCUCAAUGCUGGCUACAACAACCUCAGUGGAACCCUCCCAGAUGAACUCUUCCGUGCUACCUCGUUGGAGCACCUGUCUUUCCGUAACAAUGAGUUACAUGGAGUACUGGAUGGUGCGCACAUAAUCAACCUCGGCAAUCUCGUGACCCUGAAUCUUGGAAGGAAUAACUUCAGUGGCAAGCUUCCAGAUUCUAUAGGUCAGCUCAAGAGAAUGGAGGAGUUAUAUUUUGACCGCAACAACAUGUCAGGGGACCUACCAUCAGCUCUGAGUAACUGCACAAAUCUUAUAACAGUCGACUUCAAGAGCAACAAAUUCAGUGGAGAACUUAACAAGGUUGAUUUCUCCAACUUUCCCAAUCUGACAACUUUAGACCUUCUGUACAACAACUUCACUGGCACAAUUCCAGAAAGUAUAUACUCUUGCAGCAAACUCAUUGCCCUGCGGCUAUCUGCAAACAACUUGCAUGGACAACUGUCGCCAAAAAUAGGCGAUUCGAAGCACCUAGCCUUCCUUUCACUUGCUUUCAACUCAUUCGUAAAUAUCACAAAUGCACUUCACAUUCUACAGAACUGCAGGCAGCUUACCAUCCUGCUUAUCGGGGAUAACUUCAUGGCAGAGCUCAUGCCUGAGGAUGACAUAAUUGAUGGCUUUCAGAAUCUUCAGGUCCUGGAUAUAGGAGGUUGCCAGUUGUUAGGUAAUAUGCCAUUUUGGAUAUCGAAGCUACCAAACUUACAAAUAUUAAACUUAGCUAACAAUCAACUCACUGGAUCAAUACCAGCCUGGAUCAAAACCCUAAGCAACCUGUUCUAUCUGGACAUAUCAAACAACAACCUCACAGAGGGAAUUCCAACAACACUGAUGGAUAUGCCAAUGCUGAAGUUAGAGAAGACUAAAGCCCAUUUAGACCCAAGGGUGUUCAAACUAACUAUUUAUACUGCUCUAUCACGACAAUACCGCCGAUUGAAUGCUUUCCCUAAAGUGCUGGAUUUAAGCAACAAUAAAUUCACUGGUGAGAUCCCUUGGGAGAUCGGUCAGCUGAAAUCCCUCCGUUCUCUCAAUUUGAGUUCGAAUGACUUGACGGGACAGCUCCCACAGUCAAUAUGCAAUCUCACAAGUCUUCUGGCACUAGACUUGUCCAAUAACAAUCUCAUGGGCCCAAUCCCAUCUGGACUGAACAGCCUGCACUCCCUUUCGGCGUUCAAUAUUUCCAAGAACGACCUAGAAGGUCCUAUUCCAUCUGGAGGCCAGUUUAACACAUUUGAGACUUCGAGCUUUGAUGGGAAUGCAAGGCUCUGUGGUUCAAUGCUCAUUCAAAAGUGUGAUUCAACAGAAGCACCUCCAGCCACCACUAUGUCAAAACAACGAACGGGCUAUAAGGUUGCCUUCAUGAUUGCUUUCAGUGCAUUCUUCGUCAUAGGGGUGUUGUAUGAUCAGGUAGUCUUAUCAAAAUAUUUUGGCUAG
rnacentral:rRNA from 1 species